AGUGGGGAAUCUUGCGCAAUGGGCGAAAGCCUGACGCAGCCAUGCCGCGUGAAUGAUGAAGGUCUUAGGAUUGUAAAGUUCUUUAGCCUGUGACGAUGAUGACGGUAACAGGAGAAUAAGCCCCGGCUAACUUCGUGCCAGCAGCCGCGGUAAUACGAAGGGGGCUAGCGUUGUUCGGAAUUACUGGGCGUAAAGCGCGCGUAGGCGGUUUUACAAGCCAGAGGUGAAAUGCCUGAGCUUAACUUGGGAAUUGCCUUUGGAACUGUAUGGCUUUGAGGACGAGAGAGGUGAGUGGAAUUCCCAGUGUAGAGGUGAAAUUCGUAGAUAUUGGGAAGAACACCGGUGGCGAAGGCGGCUCACUGGCUCGUUUCUGACGCUGUAGCGCGAAAGCGUGGGGAUCAAA
rnacentral:rRNA from 1 species